rnacentral:ncRNA from 1 species
UGACCUCAGAUCAGGCAAGGCAACCCGCUGAAUUUAAGCAUAUUAAUAAGCGGAGGAAAAGAAACUAACAAGGAUUCCCCUAGUAAUGGCGAAUGAAGCGGGAACAGCUCAAAUUUAAAUCUCCGUUGCCUAAUCUCCGUUACCCUACUGCCUCCUCGUGGCGAGAGUCGUGAGUAGG